GAUGAACGCUGGCUACAGGCUUAACACAUGCAAGUCGAGGGGAAACGACGGGGAAGCUUGCUUCCCCGGGCGUCGACCGGCGCACGGGUGAGUAACGCGUAUCCAACCUGCCUCUGACUGAGGGAUAACCCGUCGAAAGUCGGCCUAAUACCUCAUGGCAUCGUCUGCGGGCAUCCAACGACGAUUAAAGAUUUCAUCGGUCAGAGAUGGGGAUGCGUCUGAUUAGCUUGUUGGCGGGGUAACGGCCCACCAAGGCGACGAUCAGUAGGGGUUCUGAGGGGAAGGUCCCCCACAUUGGAACUGAGACACGGUCCAAACUCCUACGGGAGGCAGCAGUGAGGAAUAUUGGUCAAUGGGCGAGAGCCUGAACCAGCCAAGUAGCGUGCAGGAUGACGGCCCUAUGGGUUGUAAACUGCUUUUAUGCGGGGAUAAAGUGAGGGACGUGUCCUUCAUUGCAGGUACCGCAUGAAUAAGGACCGGCUAAUUCCGUG
rnacentral:rRNA from 1 species